rnacentral:lncRNA from 1 species
AAAAAUGACCUUUUAAAAAAGUAAUUAAAUUAUUGUGCACAUCCUACACUUCCCGCUCAUCAAUUUGUCUAAUUAAAUAUUGCAGAAUUAUAUGUCUAAUUAAAUAUUGCAGAAUUAUAUGUCUAAUUAAUUUUUUUAAUCAUUUAUUUAAAAUAAAAAAUUUAUAAAAACUCAAAAAUAUUAAUAUCAAAAUUAUUCUAAAUUAAAAAAAAUUAUGUAAAAUCAGUGAGUUUAUUAGGAAAGAGUCAUCCAUGUAGAACGAGUUAAAACCGUCCAAGACACUAACAAACCACGAUAUUUUGAUCCUGACUUAUCAACUGUACCCAAUUCAGGACGGUACAAUUCAGGAUGACAGAAUUUAAAAUUACUCUGAAUAAAAGAAUUGAUAUCAGAAGCACUAUAAAUAAAAAAAAAAUUAUGUGAAACUAGUGAGUUUAUAGAACGAGGUGAAACCGCCCAAACCAUAAUAUCUGAGGGUCUAAUCCUAACUUAACAAUUGCAUCCAAUUCAGGAUGACAGAAUUGCGAUAGGACAUUGAAAAAUUGAAUGAGGAAGAAUGAAACAUCUCAUAUUAUUAAAAUACGAAAUCGGUAUUAUAUAUAAUAAUUAGUAUGAAACUACUAAACAAUUUAGGUUCAUAAUUUUGGAUCAAAUGAAAAUGUGGAGCUACUCGAAAUAUUAGCAAAUCAUAAUACUCAAAAGUGGUUCUCACUUGGUAAUUGUAUCCAAUUUAGCACGAUAGAAUUGCAACGAGGAUGAUAUGGUGCUGAUUUAGUAAUUAUGCCCAAUUAGCACGAUAGGAUUGCGAUGAGAACGUCGAAAAAUUGAAUAAGGAAGAAGGAAACGUCUCACAUUGUUAAAAUAUUGAAAUUGGAAUUAUAUAUAAUAACCGGUAUAAAACUAUUAAAUAAUUUGAAUUAACC